rnacentral:lncRNA from 9 species
AUUGGAGGGGUGGUCCUUCCUUUGCUGGGGCCCUCAGUAGAGUAGAGGCUGCCUGGGGGCUGUCUAGCCCUACUAAAUGUCACAUCUCACUCCCUCCCAGAUUCUCCAGCCCACCACUUUGCUGAAACACCUGCCUGCUGCCAGCCGCCAGCCCAGCUGCUGUCACUUUGCUCUGUGCCGUAAGAGGAACCCGAACCUCUGCUCCUUCAGAGCCUGUGAGCUGCCAUGGUUUUAUUCUCAGCCUCCAUCUCUGUGUCCCACUGCUCUUGCCCCACCUUUGCGGGUGUCCCUGGAACAUCCACACUCCUUUCUGCCUGGAACCCCCACAAGACUUCAAGGAUUGCAGGAAUGGAGGUCAUGCGCUUGAGUACCUGCUCUCUCAACUGUGCAUGAUCACAGCCCAAAGAGCCACUUGUCCAGGAUGCACAGAUGGACAGGGAUGCUGGAGAUCACCUGAAUCACAUGGGACUUUGAACCAGAUAAACCUCCAGGGCUGCUGCCAAUGCUAAGAGGUGCUGCUUCCCCAGCAUCACCUGAGGUGAGUAAGUUGGGAUGAACAUCCCUCCUGAGGAUGAGGAAUUUGUCAAGAAUAAUCCUUAAGUCCUAUAACUAUACAUAUAACUCACUGAUUCUCUAAAAUAACCAUAUAUGGUAGAUACUAGUAAUAUUCCUGUUAUAGGGAGGAAGAAGCUAAGUCACAGAGAAGUUGAGUGACUGAUCCAAGGUCACACAAGUCAUUUAUAGCAGAGCUGGGAUCCAAGCCCAGGCAGACAGACUCCAGAAUCUCUGUUCUUAAAUUCCAACCAGUAUCACCUCUGGAAAAUGGUCCAAAGAGACGAAGUGACCUGCACACAAAAUAUGGAGUCAUGACUUAGAAUCAGCCUGUGAUCUUACCAACAACUACACUGGGUUAGAGCUCAGAGUCAACCGGUCUGGUUCACACACUGGUCCAUUGCCCUUCCCGGUCUCCUCACCCCUCCAUGGUGCAAACUUCCCAUUCCCACCACAGCCCAUGUGGUCUCUUGUUUCCAGACCUUUGAGCCCUCCUCUCCUUCAUACAGGCACACCAUCCCCUGUUCCUGGAUCACCCCUACUCACCCUUCAAAAUUGAACUUAAAAUCUCCCUGCACCUAGGCUUUCCAAAUCUGACAUUUGUGCCCCUCCUGCUCGCACACGUAUCAGACCCAGCUCCCCCGUC